rnacentral:lncRNA from 1 species
UGCACGCUUUGGCUUUACUUGAUGGGUGGUAUAGCGGAUGGUUGCUCUGGCCCGGUCAGUUCCUUACCUCGGUUGCUGUCAGACGAUCGCUUUACCGAUCCAGCGAUUGAGUAUUCCGACAACAAUAAACUAAACUUAUUCAACAAAUCGGAUUUUAUGAGACAGUGUGUGUGAAAGACAUAACUUCAGUGCUCAGUUUUAAUAAAAUUUUGGUUAUCAUUAAGUAAGACAAGUUAUAAUACAGUCUAGGUAAGUUAUGGUUUUUAUAUUUAUGAACUCAGUAGAACAUUCAUGUUAUUGUUAUGCUGUUCAAACAAGCAGAAUUUUUGUACGAUUUUUUAUAUUAUUAUAUUUAUUAAGAACUGUACAUUAUAAACAAGAAAAAAAUUCUAUAUUAUAUAAUCCAUAUAAUCCAUAUCUAAAUGUUCAUUCAAGUUCCAGGAAUAUAUUGUUGUUAUGCAAUUAACUGUUAGAUUUAAAAUAAUAUUUUUUUUUAUAAACACAAGCAUGAUAUUUGAACUUUUUUAUCUUAACUUCUUUCAUUUAUCCCCCAUUUAUUCAGCACUCCCUUAUUAUUUCUUUUUACCAGCUCGCCUCCACCCAAAACGAAAAAUAGUAAAAAAAAAUAUUUAUCUUCGAACUACAAUAAUAUUAAGUAGCCUUUUGCCAAGGCAAAGUAGGCUAAACUAUAGCCCUUCUUACUCGGAAAUGAUUGUGUUCUUGCUCCUUUGAUUGCAAUCAUUGAGUAUAACAUUAUGUAAAUUGUACAUCUUAAUCUAAAAAUCAUAUGCAAAAAUCUAACGACUGUUCGACAUUUUAACUAAUGUUUGUUGUUUAAUGAAGUGACUUGUCCCAUGAAUGUCUUAAUGGGAAUAAAUGCCUUAAACCUUAAGAGUUCUGAUGGUAAUAGAAUUAUUCUCAUCGGCCAAAUAGUAUUAAAGUUAAAUUAUAAAAUGCGGAAACAAAAAAAAAAUAUUCCUUUUUAUAAUACUAGUUUCCAGAUUUAUUAGGUUCCGUAACCUAAGGAUACAAUGUGCACCUAUUACCAAGACUUCGCUGCCCGUCUAUAUGACAGUUGAAAAUUUCAGAGUAUUUCUGUUGCCGCUAUAGCAACAAAUAAAUUAAAAAUCGAGGUUAAGCAACGGUUGACACUGUCAUAAAAUGGAUGGGCGACCAUUUUAUUUCGCAGUUGCUUUUUGGCUUCAUUUUCAUUCGGAACUCUUAGUGUCGGGCACGCACUUGACAGAUUUUAUUACAUUCAUUAUUAUAUAACAAGCCGGUAGCUCAGUAAUGCAAAUAAGUAUUAUAUCAUAUAAUUUUUCCCUGGAAAUGUUAUAAUUUUUCAAAUUAUAUACUUAACUUACUAGCUGUGACUUGUGGUGUCACUCACGACUUACAUGGUGUAAUGUAAGGAAUGCUAUAUACCUUCAUAAAUGGAUAUCUAACACUGCAAUUUUUUUUUAAUCGGACCAUUUCCUGAGAUUAUCGCGUUCAAAUAAACUCUUCGCCUUUAGUAUAGGAUAACAAUAGCCACAGUAAAAACUAUGAAUAGUUUUACAUAAAAAUGGUGUUGCUUACAAACUGUAGCGUUUGCGAAACACGAAUAUUAAAUGAGUUGUGAAGAAUACUGCCAGUUCGACACUAAUUGGAUAAAUUUAUAGCUCGAGUGUCAGUCUCCCUUGCGCCCGAAAGGAUUUCGAUUAAUAUUGCUUUUGAUUCUUGGAAAUCCUUUAUGAACACAUUUGUAUGCAAUGUAAAUAUAUGCAAUUUAUACUUAACAAUAUUAAGCUGAAAAGUUUGUUUGUAGGAACGUGCUAAUAUCAGAAACAACGGGUUCGGUUUGUAAAAUUCUUUCAUCGCUGAAUAUGUACAUGAUCCCAGAGUACUAUAGGCUAUGGUUAUGUGUACCACGGACGGAGACAGGACGGAGCGGUAGAGAAGUAAGCAGAAAAAUACACUUAUGUCAGGCUUAUUAGGUAUUUAGAAAUUAUCCACAUUUUGCUUUAUACUUGUAUAGUACAAUUGAUACAAAUAGAUAAAGAAAAAUCUUCAUAUGUAAUAUAAUGGAAGUAAUAAACUAACGACGAUUAUCGCUCGCAUUGUCAGAGGUAAUUAAUUCCCUUGGAAAUAAGAUGCCCAAUCAUUACGUAUACCAUUCACUAUUGACAUUAAUUAUAUUUAAUUUAUAUAGAAAUAAAGAAUAAAGCAAACUUACAUUAGCUUAAUUAGUUAUUGAUGUUUCCCAUGAGACCAUUUUAUGUCAAUUCUAUUUCUUGAUUACGAGAAUGUCAAGAUAAACAACUGACGUAUUUAUAUGAAUUGCAUCUUUGCUUAAGGUCUUGAAGAUAUAUAAUUAAAUUAUAGUCUUAUCAAAUAUGAGUUUAAAUUUGUUUCAUGUAGGGUAGGCCAGCCUACCAGAUUGUGUCGGAAUUCCAUCGCCUAGCGCACACGGCAUUUCGUCGUUUUGGGAUCGAAAUGUGACAUCAACAAUCCUAUCAGCCUAUAAAACUUACCCUCAUAAACCCAACCGGGCGGUAAAGCAAUAAAACUUAAAAUUCCUUUAUCUAAACGCAUCUAUACUAACUUAAAAGCCGAAGUUUGUUUCAACCAAACUACGAUCUAUUCUCAAGUACUACCGGUAUGUAUUAAAGAAUUAUUUGUGUUGGAUAGUCCAUUUAUUGAGGGAGACUAUAAUGGGCUAUGUAUAACCAAACCAAAAAUAC